AACGGCCGUACCAUGCUGAAUAUACCGGUUCUCGUUAGAUCACCGAAGUUAAGCAUCAUUGGGCGCGGUCAGUACUUGGGUGAGUGACCACCUGGGAACACUGCGUGCCGU
rnacentral:rRNA from 1 species